UAACCAAGUACAAAGUUGAGUGUUUCCAUUGUAUACAGCUUUAUACGUCUACUCCACUACAUCUCAGAGGCAAAUAUUGUACUUUUUACUCCACUACAUUUGUCUGAGAGUUUUAGUUACUAGUUGCCAUUCAGAUUACAAUGUUUCUUGCCCUUCCUGUCCACUGAAACCAUGUACCUUCAAAUGAUUUGAGUGUUUGUGAUAAACUCAAGGAUCAAGUGUUAGCCUUUAUGGGUUGAGAACAUUCUCUUACCUCUUAAGCUAAAUAAACUAUUUGAAAAACCCUCUUGGAUCAGCUGGAAAAUGCAUUGUCACAAAGCUGAAAACAGGCUGAUUUUCAGGGCUCCUGAAAAGUUUAUGUUGACGUUAUGAGCAUAUGAUGAUCUUAUAGACCAUGAUGCAUUGCUGUAGAUUAAACUACCCAACAGUAUGUGAAGUAGUUAAAAAUAGCUGCACCUCAAACAUCUACUCUAGUAAAAUGCAACAUACACAUUAAAUGCAGCAGUAAUAUUCAUCCAGAAACAUCAUAUAUAAUAGUAAAACACUGACAGCGACCAUUUUACUGCACAGCGAGUACUUUUACUUUUCAUACUUUGAGUAAAUUUUGCUGAUAAUUCUUACUUACUACUUACUUUUACUUUGGUGAUGUUUUGAAUGCAGGACUUUUACUUGUAGUGGAGUAUUUUCUCAGUGUGGAAUUCGUACUAAGAUCUGAAUACUUUGUCCACCACUGACUCCGGUGCCAUACUUCUGUAAGGCUUUGUCUUUCUGGAAGACACUGAACUGGUCGUGAGAUAAGAUGCUUGAGAAGUUGUAUGCCCUUGGCUUGAAGCACCUGCUGCUGAUUGCAUAUCCUCCUUAGAGGCUGCCAUGCAAAACCAAAGUAAUGAUGCCAUUGCAUUCCAACCUUAGCACAUCCGUUAAGACGUGCCUUGAAAAUGUGGUCACAAUCUACAAACUGAUGGUUCAAGGUUGGACAAGACUCAGCCUAGACCAACUUGAGGACCCCAGCACACCAGCACCACCCCAAGACACAUCCAUUCAACUGCCUCAAAAAGAUGAGGGCUUUAUCUUACAUUUGGUGCCGUGUGACCCAUCACCCAUAACCAACCACUACAGCAGGAAACAGUCAACCUACCGCCACCAAACCACGCUCCAUCCCUCCAAGAACCAGCACAACAGGUCCCAGUAGGGGUGGGAAUCUCUUGCCACCUCACGAUUCGAUUCAGUUUGAUUCGAUUCAGUUCCCAUUUCAGAGGGCUACGAUGCGAUUAUAAAAUACAUACAGUUUUAAUUCCAUGUGAAAGCACAAAAUUCAGAUAACAUAGAGAUGCACAAGGUCUUUGUCUACCUGCCACAGGGGCGGACAGUACACCUUUAUGACUGCCCUGCACCAUAUGGUAUGUCAAAUAGCUUUUGGUUAUGUACAAUUACAUCUAUUUUUUUAUCGGCCUGCGUCUUUCUUUGCCUGUUUUGCGUACUGUUGGAAUGGACUUGUCUGUGUAUUGUCUGGAGUGGAGUUUGUUAAAGAAAAAUGUUAAUACAAAAAGUUCAGUGCUGUUUAAAACUGUCAGGAUUCAGAUAUGCUAUAACUGUGAAUGCACAGCCAUAUGAAACCACAAAGUGAAAAACACUGUUUAAAUUCAAUUAUGCAAAGGCCAACAAGUAGAAAAGUUAUGAGGAUUACAUUAUUUACACAACAUUUUUCCAAUAAUUAAGCAUAUAGCUGGUCUUCAUUUCAAAAAUUUUCCAGGCCACCAUACAUGGGCUGUUGUCUUUGUGUUUGGGUCAGGCCAUGCACAAUUACCCAUCUCAUCUGCAGAUGGCACCUGAAUCCCCAAAGGGGAUCUAUAAAGGGCUUAUCUAUCAAAUGCCAUUAUUACCCUUUGGAUGGAUAAAUGAGUGUUUUUAAUUAGAGGUUUUAUUGCAAUUUUCCACAACAUUUUGGCAUUUUAAACUGCUACACUGGGCCCAUUUUUAUUCCACCUACACUCUACAUUUUUUUUUUUUAACAGGAUUGUCCAUUUUUUUCUUAUUUUUCCACGAGCAACAAUUACUGUGAAGAACAUUACAUACCAUGAUGUCAGUGUUCUUGAGAGUGAGAACAGAAACACUCGGUGUAGUUGAGGCCUUGCAGUAACCAAACUGUGAUGUUUUAAAUCGUGAUUAACAGUUGGUUAAUUGCCGCAUCCCUACUCUGGAACAUCUAAUACUUAAUACAGCAGCCUCACUGCACCACUUUUCAAACUAUUCCAAAACAGGGUAUACAUAUUACGAUAAUGACAAUAAACUCAAUGUGCAUAACUACUCACUAAUUCUUCUUAACCCUCUCUCCCUUCAUUUAUUUAUUUAUUUGUUUCUCAGUGAAGGACCUGGCCUCCAUCCUGGCAGCCAGCCUGAAAACAUGCAACGUACAUUUCAAACGCAUAUUUUUUUCUAUUUUUCAGUUAAUAAUUAAAACAUGCUUAACAAUGAAAUUUUUUGGUUUUUACUUUUAUUGCUCCGUAACAUUGUCAAGUUGUGUCAAAAACAAUUGAGGUCCAUUAAAAAUGAAUACCUAAGAAAUUUACUGCAACUAAUGUCAUUUUAACAACAUUAUCAUUCUGUUUUAUGGUUUUCCUUUAACAUGUUGCAGCUGCUCUAAUCUGUGUGGACUUAAUAAAGUGCAACAGUAU